CCGAAGGUCGAGGUAGUGACGAAAAUAACGAUACGGGACUCAUCUGAGGCCCCGUAAUCGGAAUGAGUACACUUUAAAACCGUCCCCGAGGAUCUAUUGGAGGGCAAGUCUGGUGCCAGCAGCCGCGGUAAUUCCAGCUCCAAUAGCGUAUAUUAAAGUUGUUGUGGUUAAAAAGCUCGUAGUUGGAUCUCGGCGGUCUGAGGGCGGUUCACUUGCUAGUGCUACUGCCCUAUAGACCGUAGUUUUGCCAGAGGUCUCAGGGUGCUCUUAAUCGAGUGUCUUGUGAUGCUGGCAGGUUUACUUUGAAAAAAUUAGAGUGCUCAAAGCAGGCUUUUACGCCUGAAUAUUCGUGCAUGGAAUAAUAGAAUAGGAAGUCGUUUCUAUUUUGUUGGUUUUCGGAAAUCGACUUAAUGAUUAAUAGGGACAGUCGGGGGCAUUUGUAUUCAAACGACAGAGGUGAAAUUCUUGGACCGUUUGAAGACAAACUACUGCGAAAGCAUUUGCCAAGAAUGUUUUCAUUAAUCAAGAACGAAAGUUAGAGGUUCGAAGGCGAUUAGAUACCGCCCUAGUUCUAACCAUAAACGAUGCCAGCUAGCGAUCUGCCGACGUUUUUUUUGUAGACUCGGCAGGAAGCUUCCGGGAAACCAAAGCAUUUGGGUUCCAGGGGAAGUAUGGUUGCAAAGCUGAAACUUAAAGGAAUUGACGGAAGGGCACCACCAGGAGUGGAGCCUGUGGCUUAAUUUGACUCAACACGGGAAAUCUCACCAGGCCCGGACACUGGAAGGAUUGACAGAUUGAUAGCUCUUUCUUGAUUCGGUGGGUGGUGGUGCAUGGCCGUUCUUAGUUGGUGGAGUGAUUUGUCUGGUUAAUUCCGAUAACGAACGAGACUCUGUCCUGCUAAAUAGUGUCCGCCUCUCUUCUGGGCGGACAAUUCUUCUUAGAGGGACUGGCGACUCUCAGUCGCACGAGAUUGAGCAAUAACAGGUCUGUGAUGCCCUUAGAUGUUCUGGGCCGCACACGCGCUACACUGAAUAGAUCAACGUGUUCCCCCUGUCCGAGAGGACCGGGUAAACCGCUGAACCCUAUUCGUGGUAGGGAUCGGGGCUUGCAAUUGUUCCCCGUAAACCAGGAAUUCCCAGUAGGCGCAAGUCAUAAGCUUGUGUCGAUUACGUCCCUGCCCUUUGUACACACCGCCCGUCGCUACUACCGAUUGAACGUUUUAGUGAGGUCCUCGGACUGUUUGGUAGGCGGAUUGCUCCGCCUGCCUGGCGG
rnacentral:rRNA from 1 species